rnacentral:lncRNA from 1 species
AUGGGGGGUGCAAGGGGGCGGCUCCUGCAGGGGAGGGCAACGGUCUCAGCUGGGGAGCGCAGGAAAGAGAAAGGAAAGAAACAAAAAGCAAGCUCCCCGCCUCCCGCGAGCAACCAAUUCCGCCUCAGAAGGCCACUGAAUUUUGCAGUCUGCAAGACAGGCUCCGGGGCGGGGGCGAGGGCGAGGGCGAGGGUUGGGGUGGGCGUGGGGGGUGCAAGGCGUUGCUUUGCAAGGGGCGGCCCGGCCCUCCGCAGUCGGAGGCUUCCCUACACGCACGCGGGUGGCUGGUUUCUGCAUAAAAGCAGGCCUCUCCCGGGCUUGCUGCAAAGUUACGGGCGCCGCGGGGAACAACUCCACAAGUGGCGUUGCCGGCGGCUGCUCGGGGCGCGCGGGGCGCGGGCCGGACCCGGACCCGAACCCGCCCGGGCCGGGGUGUGCGAGCGCGCGGGGGCGGCGGCCUGCAGGGCCGGGGCCGGGGCUGGGGCCGGGCCCGGGGCUGGGGGCUCACCCGGGGCUGCGGCCGGCGGGGGACCCGGAACUCGCGCGCUCAACUUCCCGCUGCCAAGCGGGAUGUUUGUCUUUUUAAUAUUUUUUUGGAGAGUGCGUGCCCUCCGCCCGCCCGGCCCGCGCACCCCCUCCCCGCGCACCCCCCCGCCCCCCGCCCCCGACAGCUGCGCGGCCGAGCGGAGCGGGGGGCGGCGACCUGGGUGGAGAGAGGCUGGCGCUGGGAGUGGCCCCGGGAGCCCCCGCCCGCAGGCCCGCCGGCCGCCUGCGGGAUCCCGGGCCUGCCCUCCGCGCCGGGGUCCUCCGAGGGCGCCGCUGCCCCGGGGUCGAGGCCCGACGUCCCGGCCCCCGCGCCGCGCUGCCAACUUGCUGCCGCGCGCCCCUUACCAAACCCGAGGCACACUUCUUUAUUUCUAUUAUUAUUCUCCCCCCCCCCCCCCCCCCCCCCCCCCCCCCCCCCCCCAGGGCCGGCUUUGCAAGAACGUGCAUCUCAAGAAAUCCGCGAACGUGCCCUUUGCAAAGGGAGCUUCUCCCUGA